UUUGUAUAAUGGGUCAGCGACUUAUAUUCAGUGGCAAGGUUAACCAUCUAGGGGAGCCGUAGGGAAACCGAGUCUUAACUGGGCGUUCAGUCUCUGGAUAUAGACCCGAAACCAGGUGAUCUAGCCAUGGGCAGGUUGAAGGUUGAGUAACAUCAACUGGAGGACCGAACCGACUAAUGUUGAAAAAUUAGCGGAUGACUUGUGGCUAGGGGUGAAAGGCCAAUCAAACCUGGAGAUAGCUGGUUCUCCCCGAAAGCUAUUUAGGUAGCGCCUCGGACGAAUACUACUGGGGGUAGAGCACUGUUAAGGCUAGGGGGUCAUCCCGACUUACCAACCCUUUGCAAACUCCGAAUACCAGUAAGUACUAUCCGGGAGACACACGGCGGGUGCUAACGUCCGUCGUGGAGAGGGAAACAACCCAGACCGCCAGCUAAGGUCCCAAAUUACUACUAAGUGGGAAACGAUGUGGGAAGGCUCAGACAGCCAGGAUGUUGGCUUAGAAGCAGCCAUCAUUUAAAGAAAGCGUAAUAGCUCACUGGUCGAGUCGGCCUGCGCGGAAGAUGUAACGGGGCUAAGUAGUAAACCGAAGCUGCGGCAAUGUGCUUUUGCACAUUGGGUAGGGGAGCGUUCUGUAAGCGGUUGAAGGUGUGUGGUAACGCAUGCUGGACGUAUCAGAAGUGCGAAUGCUGACAUGAGUAACGAUAAAGGGGGUGAAAAACCUCCUCGCCGGAAGACCAAGGGUUCCUGUCCAACGUUAAUCGGGGCAGGGUAAGUCGACCCCUAAGGCGAGGCCGAAAGGCGUAGUCGAUGGGAAACGGGUUAAUAUUCCCGUACUUCUUACAAUUGCGAUGGGGGGACGGAGAAGGCUAGGUGGGCCUGGCGACGGUUGUCCAGGUUCAAGUGCGUAGGCUUAAGAGUUAGGUAAAUCCGGCUCUUUCUAAGGCUGAGACACGACGUCGAGCACCUACGGGUGUGAAGUCAUUGAUGCCAUGCUUCCAGGAAAAGCCUCUAAGCUUCAGAUUGUAAGGAAUCGUACCCCAAACCGACACAGGUGGUCGGGUAGAGAAUACCAAGGCGCUUGAGAGAACUCGGGUGAAGGAACUAGGCAAAAUGGUACCGUAA
rnacentral:rRNA from 1 species